GGCAGUCAGAGGCGAUGAAAGACGUGAUAGCCUGCGAAAAGCUCCGGGGAGGCGGCAAAUAUCCUUUGAUCCGGAGAUGUCUGAAUGGGGGAACCCACCUACUUUAAGGUAGGUAUUGCAACAUGAAUACAUAGUGUUGCAAGGCGAACGAGGGGAAGUGAAACAUCUCAGUACCCUUAGGAAAAGAAAUCAAUUGAGAUUCCCUCAGUAGCGGCGAGCGAACGGGGAUCAGCCCAUUAAGUUAUGUGUGUUUUAGUGGAACGCUCUGGGAAGUGCGAACGUAGAGGGUGAUAUUCCCGUACACGAAAGGGCACACAUAAUGAUGACGAGUAGGGCGAGGCACGUGAAACCUUGUCUGAAUAUGGGGGGACCAUCCUCCAAGGCUAAAUACUCCUGACUGACCGAUAGUGAACCAGUACCGUGAGGGAAAGGCGAAAAGAACCCCUGUGAGGGGAGUGAAAUAGAUCCUGAAACCGCAUGCAUACAAGCAGUGGGAGCACCUUCGUGGUGUGACUGCGUACCUUUUGUAUAAUGGGU
rnacentral:rRNA from 1 species